rnacentral:rRNA from 1 species
GACGAACGCUGGCGGCGUGCCUAAUACAUGCAAGUCGAGCGGACAGAUGGGAGCUUGCUCCCUGAUGUUAGCGGCGGACGGGUGAGUAACACGUGGGUAACCUGCCUGUAAGACUGGGAUAACUCCGGGAAACCGGGGCUAAUACCGGAUGCUUGAUUGAACCGCAUGGUUCAAACAUAAAAGGUGGCUUCGGCUACCACUUACAGAUGGACCCGCGGCGCAUUAGCUAGUUGGUGAGGUAAUGGCUCACCAAGGCAACGAUGCGUAGCCGACCUGAGAGGGUGAUCGGCCACACUGGGACUGAGACACGGCCCAGACUCCUACGGGAGGCAGCAGUAGGGAAUCUUCCCCAAUGGACGAAAGUCUGACGGAGCAACGCCGCGUGAGUGAUGAAGGUUUUCGGAUCGUAAAGCUCUGUUGUUAGGGAAGAACAAGUGCCGUUCAAAUAGGGCGGCACCUU